AAAACUAUAUGGGUGUGACAGGCCAAAUAUAGACACACAAAUACAACAGACUCCUGUCAGCUCUGAACAGCCAUUGCUGCUGAACUCUCACAAUAGUAAGGUUUACAAGUCAGUGAACAAUAUGAAAUACACUAAAGGUCACAGCAGGGAAUCGAUCAUCAUGGCUGGAAAUCUAGAGUGCUGUGAUGAUACGAAGAUGGAUGGUCUUGCCAGUACAAGGCACAGCAUGAAGAACCAUAUUGUGGACUGCUGGAUGUUGAACACUCCAUUAGGCAAUCAUCAAAAAUAACGACACGAGUAUGGAGGAUUGCUGUGGUUUAUGAGUCAGGGCAGAACUGCAUGCUACACCAAAUGUGAAUCUUGAUAUAAGAAGGAGGAGGAGAGGGGAAGGGGGAACAUCGAAAAGGACAGGGAAAAAUGGCUAUGAGAAGGAAAAAUGUGUAUUGUG